AAAGUCUAACCUGCCCACUGGUGUCAAACUAAAGGGCCGCGGUAUUUUAACCGUGCGAAGGUAGCAUAGUCAUUAGUCUUUUAAUUGGAGGCUUGUAUGAAUGGUUGGACAAGAAGCAAGCUGUCUCGAACACAAAGAUUGAAGUUGACUUUUAAGUGAAAAGGCUUAAAUAGUUUAAAGGGACGAUAAGACCCUAUAAAGCUUGAUAAUUUAGUGUGUGGCUAGAUAAAUUAUAAGUGCUAUAUUAUUUACACAUCAAAUUAUUUCGUUGGGGCGAUGAUAAUAUAAUUUGUAACUGUUUAAGUGUUUGUAUCAAAUAUCUUUGUGUGUAAUGAUCCUUGUUGUUGAUUAAAAAUUUAAGUUACUUUAGGGAUAACAGCGUUAUUUAUUUUGAGAGUUCAUAUCGACAAAAAAGUUUGCGACCUCGAUGUUGAAUUAAAAAUUCUCCAUGGCGUAGGAGUUAUGGGAGAGGGUCUGUUCGACC
rnacentral:rRNA from 1 species